ACAUAUGAAGACACUGUCGAAUAAAUUGAAAUCAAAUCGUGCAUCAAAUCAAUGCAUGUCAACACAAGAGGCAAUAUUAAAUAUAUACUGCAAAAAC